CAAGUCGAACGGUAACAGGUUAAGCUGACGAGUGGCGAACGGGUGAGUAAUGUAUCGGAACGUGCCCAGUCGUGGGGGAUAACUGCUCGAAAGAGCAGCUAAUACCGCAUACGACCUGAGGGUGAAAGCGGGGGAUCGCAAGACCUCGCGCGAUUGGAGCGGCCGAUAUCAGAUUAGGUAGUUGGUGAGGUAAAGGCUCACCAAGCCGACGAUCUGUAGCUGGUCUGGGAGGACGACCAGCCACACUGGGACUGAGACACGGCCCAGACUCCUACGGGAGGCAGCAGUGGGGAAUUUUGGACAAUGGGCGCAAGCCUGAUCCAGCCAUGCCGCGUGCGGGAAGAAGGCCUUCGGGUUGUAAACCGCUUUUGUCAGGGAAGAAAAGGUUCUGGCUAAUACCUGGGACUCAUGACGGUACCUGAAGAAUAAGCACCGGCUAACUACGUGCCAGCAGCCGCGGUAAUACGUAGGGUGCAAGCGUUAAUCGGAAUUACUGGGCGUAAAGCGUGCGCAGGCGGUUAUGCAAGACAGAGGUGAAAUCCCCGGGCUCAACCUGGGAACUGCCUUUGUGACUGCAUGGCUAGAGUACGGUGGAGGGGGAUGGAAUUCCGCGUGUAGCAGUGAAAUGCGUAGAUAUGCGGAGGAACACCGAUGGCGAAGGCAAUCCCCUGGACCUGUACUGACGCUCAUGCACGAAAGCGUGGGGAGCAAACAGGAUUA
rnacentral:rRNA from 1 species